CACCUCUCAGGAUCGCACCUGGAGAGUUUCCAGUACUCCACCAAUCUCAACUAUGGAAAGGAGAGUCAAGCAGAGGCAUAUCCAUUCUAUUUCUAGCUUAGGCAGUGGCUAGCGAUUGGAAGAUAAUCUGCUACAAGU